UACGGAGGGUGCGAGCGUUGUCCGGAAUCACUGGGCGUAAAGGGCGCGUAGGCGGCGCGGGAAGUCAUCGGUGAAAGUUCAGGGCUCAACUCUGAAUCGGCCGGUGAUACUCUCGUGCUUGAGCACUGUAGAGGCAGGUGGAAUUCCGGGUGUAGCGGUGGAAUGCGUAGAGAUCCGGAAGAACACCGGUGGCGAAGGCGGCCUGCUGGGAAGUAGCUGACGCUGAUGCGCGACAGCGUGGGGAGCAAACAGG
rnacentral:rRNA from 1 species